CAGGGCAAGGCGCGUCAUGGUGGCCAGCCUGGUGGACCACAAGAGGUCAGCAACGGCAGCAGCAUUUCUGGAAAUGGCUGUUAAGGAAACAACAAACAUGUUCACCACUUUUUGUUCACCAAGUAUGCAAGGAUACGAUCGGGGAACAUCACCAGCACUUUUCCCUUGUUCGUGGUCCAUUCGGUGAGCUUGAGAUACCUAGGUAAUAAAGAUUAUACUUCCUCAAUGCUA